rnacentral:rRNA from 1 species
UUCCGGUUGAUCCUGCCGGACCCCACUGCUAUCGGGAUAGGACUAAGACAUGCUAGUCGCACGACGGAGGCGCGGCGCACAGCUCAGUAACACGUGGCUAACCUGCCCUCGGGACGGGAAUACCCCCGGGAAACUGGGGCUAAUACCCGAUAGGUGAAGAACUCUGGAAUGAGUCUCCGCCCAAAAGAUUAGGCGCCCAAGGAUGGGGCCGCGUCCGAUCAGGUUGUUGGUGAGGUAAUGGCUCACCAAGCCUUUAACCGGUGCGGGCCGUGAGAGCGGGAGCCCGGAGAUGGGCACUGAGACAAGGGCCCAGGCCCUACGGGGCGCAGCAGUCGCGAAAACUUUGCAAUACACGAAAGUGUGACAGGGUUAUCCCGAGUGCCAUCCGCUGAGGAAGGCUUUUACCCAGUGUAGAAAGCUGGGAGAAUAAGGAGAGGGCAAGAUCUGGUGUCAGCCGCCGCGGUAAUACCAGCCCCCUGAGUGAUAGGGACGAUUGUUUAGCCUAAAGCGUUCGUAGCCGGUUUAGUAAGUCUUUCGUUAAAUCUGACGACUCAAUCGUUAGGCCGCGGAAGAUACUGCUAGGCUAGAGGGCGGGAGAGGUUGACGGUAUUCCUGGGGUAGGGGUGAAAUCCAAUAAUCCCGGGAGGACCACCAGUGGCGAAGGCGGUCAACUAGAACGUGCCUGACGGUGAUGGACGAAAGCUGGGGGAGCGAACCGGAUUAGACACCCGGGUAGUCCCAGCUGUAAACGAUGCGAGCUAGGUGUUGGAGCAACUACGAGUUGCCCCAGUGCCGCAGAGAAGUUGUUAAGCUCGCCGCCUGGGAAGUACGGCCGCAAGGCUGAAACUUAAAGGAAUUGGCGGGGGAGCACCACAAGGGGUGAAGCUUGCGGUUUAAUUGGAUUCAACGCCGGA